AUGGUCGGAAAGUUGACGUAUUAUAUGUUCUAUGACAGUACAGUUGGCAAGUUGCGGCAGGGCAGGAAGGUGCUCUUUGCAAAGGAGGAAGAACUCUCCAGAAGAGCCUAUCCAGAAUUCAGAAUCAGAAUAGAGCAACCCCUUAUGAGUUUUGGUAUAUUCAGGGGUACAAAGCCAUUUUCUUUUCCCACACCUCAAACAGCCAUGCUUUCUGCUUUUUGCUCAAUGCUUGUGGUGGUCCUGCUUGUAAUUCUCAGAGGGACCCAUGGAGACUCAGUGACCCAGACAGAAGGCCCUGUUACUCUCCUUGAGGGGACGCCUUUGACCCUGAACUGCACUUACCAGAGUGGCUCUACAGUUUUUGUUUUCUGGUAUGUCCAGUACCGAAACAAAGAGCCUGAGUUCCUGCUUAACAGCGUAUCAGAAAACCGGAGGACAGAGCAUCACGGUUUUCAGGCCAGUCUUGUCACGAGCGACAGCUCCUUCCACCUGCAGAAACGCUCUGUGCGAGUGUCAGACUCGGCUGUGUACUACUGCGUCCCUGACCAGGAAACAGAGAAAUGAGUCCCUCACUGUAAACUGGGCACACUCUCUGGCAAUGAGUGCCUAAUUGGCUUAAGGAUACUCAGAGAAGACCCUGGGAACCACAGAGGUGACCUAUGACUUCAGCUGGGCUGUGAUGAUUUAUAAAGAGAGGGAUGAGAAAACCUAGGAAACAUUCUCUACAAUGCUUGUGGGUGUGAUUCCUGAUUCAUUCUGGUUUCAGGAAAGUCGACUAUGAUAUGACCUGCAGGUACUCUGGCAGGUGUAAGGAUCACCCAGAUCAGCAUCAAGGACACAGCAGAAGAAAAGGAACUGACUAGGCCCUGAACUUAACACCCCCUUGUAGAAAUGAGAAACCAAAUCUGCCAUCAUUAAUCAAGGAUCAGUGGUGGACAGAGCUGGAGUAUUAUGCUAAGUCAAAUAAGUCAGUCAGAGAAAGACAAAUACCAUAUGAUUUCACUCCU